CAGGGUGUAGCGCAGUUGGUAGCGCGCAGCGUUCGGGACGCUGAGGUCGUGAGUUCAAGUCUCAUCACCCUGACCA
rnacentral:tRNA from 1 species